UGAGAGUACGCGUACCCACAGAGUACUGAGGGGGUAAUCCUAAGAAAAUUCGGAGAAAUUAGAACAGGCCCAUUUUUUCACUAAAUUGUUCUACUGGCUAGGAAAGAGACAAAUUAAGGUGCGCCAGACAGAACAGCGCCUCCACGAGUCCCACCGAGGCAAUGACCCCCUCAUGUGUGAGAGGUUAUUCUUUAUGCAGGUCAAGUUACCACAGUCCACAGGUGACAGCCAUGCCGCAAAUUGUAGGGCGGGGGGGGGGCUGUUGUACUCAUCCUGACCAAUUUUAUGGUAAUGAGGGCAUUCAAUUCUUCUGAAGAUAUGUUUGGAGGCUGGAACCCAACCAGGAGUAAUGGAAAUGGUGGGUGAUCUAGGGGUCUAGCAUACUUUGGAAUGAGCUGAAGAAAGUGUUGUGUGAAUAUUAAUAAUAACUAUAAUAUAUAAUUAAACAUUAUAUCAACCUUGUUUAUAUAAUUACUAGUCAAUUUACAAGGAACUGUUUAAAUUCCUUGGACCUAAAGAUAUCUCCCUUCCUCUGUAGCCACGAAGUCUAAUACUAAGACCAUGCCAAACAACUGAAUUCUUCGUUGUGUAGAUUCCUUUAUCCGUCUUGCCACAAUGUCCACCUCACCUAUAAUUUAUUGCGAUUUAACUUGGUCCCUCCCAACGUGGCAGAUCCUAAAUUCUCCACGAUUGUCACUCCCCCUAACUUUUGUUUUAUUUGUAUUAAUCCACAAUGUGAAAGUUUCCCAAUAAGAAACAUGUAAACCCAUCGUCUCAUUGAAUGUUUGCUUGUUAAUUUUAAUGCCUGUAUCUUCCCAUGAUCAUGCUUUAAA